rnacentral:rRNA from 1 species
GCUUGUCUCAAAGAUUAAGCCAUGCAUGUCUAAGUAUAAGUAUUAUACAGCGAAACUGCGAAUGGCUCAUUAAAACAGUUAUGGUUUAUUUGAUAAUCGAAUUUUACAUGGAUAACCGUGGUAAUUCUAGAGCUAAUACAUGCUGGUGUGCCUGACUUUUCGGAAGGGCGGUAUUUAUUAGAUAUCAAACCAAUAUUCCUUCUGGUCUAUUGUGAUGAUUCAUAAUAACUGAUCGAAGCUUAGCUAGUCUAAGCUAAAUCAUUCAAGUUUCUGCCCUAUCAGCUUUCGAUGGUAGUGUAUUGGACUACCAUGGCAGUCACGGGUAACGGGGAAUUAGGGUUCGAUUCCGGAGAGGGAGCCUAAGAAACGGCUACCACAUCUAAGGAAGGCAGCAGG